AGCCAUGCGAGUCGAGAGGGUUCGGCCCUCGGCUGCCGGCUCAGUAAUACGUCGGAUAAUCUGCCCUUAGGUGGAGGAUAAUCUCGGGAAACUGAGGAUAAUACUCCAUAGAUCUAGGAUGCUGGAAUGCAUCUAGAUUUAAAGCUCCGGCGCCUAAGGAUGAGUCUGCGGACUAUCAGGUUGUAGUCAGGGUAAAGACCUGACUAGCCUACGACGGAUACGGGUUGUGAGAGUAAUAACCCGGAGACGAUAUCUGAGACACGAUAUCGGGCCCUACGGGGCGCAGCAGGCGCGAAAACUUCACACUGUGCGGAAGCGCGAUGAGGGAAUCCCAAGUGUUUGCUCGUAAGAGUAAACUGUUUCUUUGUUUAAAACGCAGAGAGAGUAAGGGCUGGGUAAGACGGGUGCCAGCCGCCGCGGUAAUACCUGCAGCUCAAGUGGUGAUCAUUAUUAUUGGGCCUAAAACGUCCGUAGCCGGUUUAGUAAAUGCCUGGGUAAAUCGUGUAGCUUAACUAUACGACUUCCGGGUAGACUGCUAAACUUGAGACCGGGAGAGGCUAGAGGUACUCCUGGGGUAGAGGUGAAAUUCUGUAAUCCUAGGGGGACCACCAGUGGCGAAGGCGUCUAGCUAGAACGGGUCUGACGGUGAGGGACGAAGCCCUGGGGCACAAACCGGAUUAGAUACCCGGGUAGUCCAGGGUGUAAACGCUG
rnacentral:rRNA from 1 species